rnacentral:rRNA from 1 species
UACGUAGGGUGCAAGCAUUAAUCGGAAUUAUUGGGCGUAAAGAGCGUGUAGGCGGCCAUACAGGUCAGCUGUGAAAACUCGAGGCUCAACCUCGAGACGUCGGUUGAAACCGUAUGGCUAGAGUCCGGAAGAGGAGAGUGGAAUUCCCGGUGUAGCGGUGAAAUGCGCAGAUAUCGGGAAGAACACCCGUGGCGAAGGCGGCUCUCUGGGACGGUACUGACGCUGAGACGCGAAAGCGUGGGGAGCGAACAGG